rnacentral:lncRNA from 1 species
AAAGAUAUCUGUCACCGGUUAGGAUGAACAUAUCAAGGAUAUACUUCCUGGGGACUCUACUAAGGAGAGAAAUAAGGGUACUUUUGCCGGGUAUUGGGCAAGAAGUCACAAACUGCAAACUAAGAAGAAUAUUACCAGUUACUGGGUAAUAGACUCUUAGGGGACCAAAGCAUCUAUCUAGGCAAGAGCUAGAAAGAAACAAUCAAUCAAGACUUAACCCAAUGAGGACAUAACUCAAGGGGAGUAAUU